GAUGAACGCUGGCGGCGUGCCUAACACAUGCAAGUCGAACGGAGACCCGCCUUUAAGACCUUCGGGUCAAAGAGGGGAAGACUGAGUGGCGGACGGGUGAGUAACACGUGAGCAACCUGGCUCAUCGAGGGGGAUAACAGAGAGAAAUUUAUGCUAAUACCGCAUAUGCACACACUGCCGCAUGGCCGAGGGUGAAAAGAGAAUCGCUAUGAGAUGGACGCGCGUCUGAUUAGCCAGUUGGCAGGGUAAGAGCCUACCAAAGCGACGAUCAGGAGCUGAGAUGAGAGGCUGAACGGCUACAACGGGAAUGAGACACGGCCCACACUCCGACGGAGGGGAGCGGUGGGGGAUACUGCACAAGGGGGGGAGACCUGACGCAGCGACGCGGCGUAAGAGAAGAAGUAGUUCGGUAUGUAAAGCCCUAUGAGCAGAGGAGAUAGUGACAGUACCUGAAAAAGAAGCCCCGGCUAACUACGUG
rnacentral:rRNA from 1 species